UUUUUUAGGGUUUAGGAUUUGGUUAGGAUUUGAUUUAGGAUUAGGAUUUGAUUAGGAUUUAAUUUAGAGUUAGGAUUUGAUUAGGGUUUGAUUUAGGAUUUAAGAUUAGAAUUAGGAUUUGAUUAGGAUUUGAUUUAAGAUUAGAUUUUGGUUAGUAUUUGAUUAAGAUUUGAUUUAAGAUUAGGAUUUGGUUUAGGAUUUAGGAUUUGGUUAGGAUUUGGUUAGGAUUUGAUUUAGGAUUUAGGAUUUAAUUAAGGAUUUAGAGAUUGAUUUAGGAUUUAAGAUUUGAUUAGGAUUUGAUCAGGAUUUGAUUUAGGAUUUAGAAUUUUAUUUGAGUUUGUUUAGGAUUUAAGAUUUAGUUAGUUUUUGGCCUAAAGUUUGAAUGGUCUAAUAAGAUUUCAAUUAGGGUUAAAUUAAGAUUGAAUUGAGAUAUAUUUGAAAUAUGUUUGUAAUCAUUCUAAUAUUUCUUUAAGAUUUCUUAUUGUUUCUUUGGAAUUCCUUUGAAGUUUCUCUGAAUUUGAUUAAAGUUUGUUUAGCAUUGUUAGUGUUUUAUUAGAAUUAGGAUUUUGUUGUUGCAAUUUCUAUUCCACCUUCCACAGCUAGGUGCUUGGAGCAUCCUCAAGCAAGACUUCAUG
rnacentral:lncRNA from 1 species